UACGUAGGGGGCAAGCGUUGUCCGGAUUUAUUGGGCGUAAAGAGCGUGUAGGCGGCUUUACAGGUCCGUUGUGAAAACUCGGGGCUUAACCCCGAGCCUGCAGUGGAUACGGGCAGACUAGAGGUAGGUAGGGGAGAAUGGAAUUCCCGGUGUAGCGGUGAAAUGCGUAGAUACCGGGAGGAACACCAGCGGCGAAGGCGGCUUUCUGGACCAAUACUGACGCUGAGACGCGAAAGCGUGGGGAGCAAACAGG
rnacentral:rRNA from 1 species